AAAGAAACCCCCACCCGUAGCCCAAACCCUAACUCAGAUGAGAUCCAAUCAACCCCCUCCUCCCAUCGCACUCAUCCCCCUCGUCCCCAUCUCCUCGCUGCCGCCACCGAUAGAAUCGAGCGCUAGGGUUGGAGCGCCGCCGCCGGACCCGUCCUCGCCUCCGACCACCGCCCCUCUUCCUCGCAAGCGAGCACAGCGCACCAGGUGUCGGAUGAGUUGAUGCGGCAGGACAAGGAGAGGCGAGGUGAGGCAGCGCGGGAGGCAGGGCGGCCAAGGUGGGGAGGAAGGUGAAUCUAGGGAAUCUGGCAGGAGCGGCGGUUUGGCUGUGGGUGUGGGGGAGGGCGGUGGGGCUGGGCGGACGGCGUGAACAAGGGCGGCGAGGGGGAGGACUGCAGGCUCAGGCCCUGGCGGCGGAGGCUUCUCGCGUCCAUGGCGUUCUCAUGGCUCUCGGCCCUCCGCCUCGCUAUGGGUGCCGUCCUGCUCACGGCCGCCAGCAUCACGCUCUUCACGCUCCCCAUUGAAAAGGAACAGGCAUUUUGGUAUGGCAUUGUGUUAUAUAUGGCUGAAAGUUUCCCAACAAAUGGAGUCAGUUGCUGCAGGCAUGCAUUCAAAAGUUCAGGAUCGUUACAAAUGGGCACAAUGCUGCUGGAGCUGGUAGACAAGCUAGCACCCAUGGAUUCGUGAACUUUCUUGGAUGUGUACUUAGUCGCCGGGGUUGGAUGAGGACAACGGCAAUAAGGGUGACUAGUGAUAUUCAGUGUUUCUUGUGUGUGUUUUCUACAUACACACACAUGGUCCUUUGAUGUAGGGCGGAACCCCAAGUGGUCGAUCUUUCACGUUUGGAGGGGAUCCUAUGGGAGAACAUGAGGAACAUGCGGAAAUCACAAAGGGGAACACGGGGAAAACAAGAGAGAAACACUAAACCGACAUAGAAUCAAUCACAUGAGUGCUAGAUCACCGGACACAUAGAGUAACAUAUGAUCCACAAUCAACAAAGGGAAAGGAGUCUACGAUGAGCUAACAUAGAUGAUCGAUAUCGACUUGUAAUGUGAAGACAAACUCGCUACUCGCGGUCUCGAGACUUGUAAUAUAAUGUUCUAUCUUUCUUCGGUCUUUUCAAUUCGGAGACUAAUAUGAUGAAUUGUAUUCGGA
rnacentral:rRNA from 1 species